rnacentral:rRNA from 1 species
UUAAGCGACUAAGCGUACACGGUGGAUGCCCUGGCAGUCAGAGGCGAUGAAGGACGUGCUAAUCUGCGAUAAGCGUCGGUGAGGUGAUAUGAACCGUUAUAACCGGCGAUUUCCGAAUGGGGAAACCCAGUGUGUUUCGACACACUAUCAUUAACUGAAUCCAUAGGUUAAUGAGGCGAACCGGGGGAACUGAAACAUCUAAGUACCCCGAGGAAAAGAAAUCAACCGAGAUUCCCCCAGUAGCGGCGAGCGAACGGGGAGGAGCCCAGAGCCUGAAUCAGUGUGUGUGUUAGUGGAAGCGUCUGGAAAGGCGCGCGAUACAGGGUGACAGCCCCGUACACAAAAAUGCACAUACUGUGAGCUCGAUGAGUAGGGCGGGACACGUGGUAUCCUGUCUGAAUAUGGGGGGACCAUCCUCCAAGGCUAAAUACUCCUGACUGACCGAUAGUGAACCAGUACCGUGAGGGAAAGGCGAAAAGAACCCCGGCGAGGGGAGUGAAAAAGAACCUGAAACCGUGUACGUACAAGCAGUGGGAGCCUCUUUAUGGGGUGACUGCGUACCUUUUGUAUAAUGGGUCAGCGACUUAUAUUCUGUAGCAAGGUUAACCGAAUAGGGGAGCCGAAGGGAAACCGAGUCUUAACUGGGCGUUAAGUUGCAGGGUAUAGACCCGAAACCCGGUGAUCUAGCCAUGGGCAGGUUGAAGGUUGGGUAACACUAACUGGAGGACCGAACCGACUAAUGUUGAAAAAUUAGCGGAUGACUUGUGGCUGGGGGUGAAAGGCCAAUCAAACCGGGAGAUAGCUGGUUCUCCCCGAAAGCUAUUUAGGUAGCGCCUCGUGAAUUCAUCUCCGGGGGUAGAGCACUGUUUCGGCAAGGGGGUCAUCCCGACUUACCAACCCGAUGCAAACUGCGAAUACCGGAGAAUGUUAUCACGGGAGACACACGGCGGGUGCUAACGUCCGUCGUGAAGAGGGAAACAACCCAGACCGCCAGCUAAGGUCCCAAAGUCAUGGUUAAGUGGGAAACGAUGUGGGAAGGCCCAGACAGCCAGGAUGUUGGCUUAGAAGCAGCCAUCAUUUAAAGAAAGCGUAAUAGCUCACUGGUCGAGUCGGCCUGCGCGGAAGAUGUAACGGGGCUAAACCAUGCACCGAAGCUGCGGCAGCGACACUAUGUGUUGUUGGGUAGGGGAGCGUUCUGUAAGCCUGUGAAGGUGGCCUGUGAGGGUUGCUGGAGGUAUCAGAAGUGCGAAUGCUGACAUAAGUAACGAUAAAGCGGGUGAAAAGCCCGCUCGCCGGAAGACCAAGGGUUCCUGUCCAACGUUAAUCGGGGCAGGGUGAGUCGACCCCUAAGGCGAGGCCGAAAGGCGUAGUCGAUGGGAAACAGGUUAAUAUUCCUGUACUUGGUGUUACUGCGAAGGGGGGACGGAGAAGGCUAUGUUGGCCGGGCGACGGUUGUCCCGGUUUAAGCGUGUAGGCUGGUUUUCCAGGCAAAUCCGGAAAACCAAGGCUGAGGCGUGAUGACGAGGCACUACGGUGCUGAAGCGACAAAUGCCCUGCUUCCAGGAAAAGCCUCUAAGCAUCAGGUAACAUCAAAUCGUACCCCAAACCGACACAGGUGGUCAGGUAGAGAAUACCAAGGCGCUUGAGAGAACUCGGGUGAAGGAACUAGGCAAAAUGGUGCCGUAACUUCGGGAGAAGGCACGCUGAUAUGUAGGUGAAGCGACUUGCUCGUGGAGCUGAAAUCAGUCGAAGAUACCAGCUGGCUGCAACUGUUUAUUAAAAACACAGCACUGUGCAAACACGAAAGUGGACGUAUACGGUGUGACGCCUGCCCGGUGCCGGAAGGUUAAUUGAUGGGGUUAGCGGUAACGCGAAGCUCUUGAUCGAAGCCCCGGUAAACGGCGGCCGUAACUAUAACGGUCCUAAGGUAGCGAAAUUCCUUGUCGGGUAAGUUCCGACCUGCACGAAUGGCGUAAUGAUGGCCAGGCUGUCUCCACCCGAGACUCAGUGAAAUUGAACUCGCUGUGAAGAUGCAGUGUACCCGCGGCAAGACGGAAAGACCCCGUGAACCUUUACUAUAGCUUGACACUGAACAUUGAGCCUUGAUGUGUAGGAUAGGUGGGAGGCUUUGAAGUGUGGACGCCAGUCUGCAUGGAGCCGACCUUGAAAUACCACCCUUUAAUGUUUGAUGUUCUAACGUUGGCCCGUAAUCCGGGUUGCGGACAGUGUCUGGUGGGUAGUUUGACUGGGGCGGUCUCCUCCUAAAGAGUAACGGAGGAGCACGAAGGUUGGCUAAUCCUGGUCGGACAUCAGGAGGUUAGUGCAAUGGCAUAAGCCAGCUUGACUGCGAGCGUGACGGCGCGAGCAGGUGCGAAAGCAGGUCAUAGUGAUCCGGUGGUUCUGAAUGGAAGGGCCAUCGCUCAACGGAUAAAAGGUACUCCGGGGAUAACAGGCUGAUACCGCCCAAGAGUUCAUAUCGACGGCGGUGUUUGGCACCUCGAUGUCGGCUCAUCACAUCCUGGGGCUGAAGUAGGUCCCAAGGGUAUGGCUGUUCGCCAUUUAAAGUGGUACGCGAGCUGGGUUUAGAACGUCGUGAGACAGUUCGGUCCCUAUCUGCCGUGGGCGCUGGAGAACUGAGGGGGGCUGCUCCUAGUACGAGAGGACCGGAGUGGACGCAUCACUGGUGUUCGGGUUGUCAUGCCAAUGGCACUGCCCGGUAGCUAAAUGCGGAAGAGAUAAGUGCUGAAAGCAUCUAAGCACGAAACUUGCCCCGAGAUGAGUUCUCCCUGACUCCUUGAGAGUCCUGAAGGAACGUUGAAGACGACGACGUUGAUAGGCCGGGUGUGUAAGCGCAGCGAUGCGUUGAGCUAACCGGUACUAAUGAACCGUGAGGCUUAACCUU